GACGAACGCUGGCGGCGUGCUUAACACAUGCAAGUCGAACGGUAAGGCCCUUCGGGGUACACGAGUGGCGAACGGGUGAGUAACACGUGGGUGAUCUGCCCUGCACUUCGGGAUAAGCCUGGGAAACUGGGUCUAAUACCGGAUAGGACCACUGCCUGCAUGGGUGGUGGUGGAAAGCUUUUGCGGUGUGGGAUGGGCCCGCGGCCUAUCAGCUUGUUGGUGGGGUGAUGGCCUACCAAGGCGACGACGGGUAGCCGGCCUGAGCGGGUGACCGGCCACACUGGGACUGAGUUACGGCCGAGACUCCUGCGGGAGGCAGCAGUGGGGAAUAUUGCACAAGGGGCGCAAGCCUGAUGCAGCGACGCCGCGUGAGGGAUGACGGCCUUCGGGUUGUAAACCUCCAUCAGCACCGACGAAGCGCAAGUGACGGUAGGUGCAGAAGAAGGACCGGCCAACUACGUGCCAGCCGCCGCCGUAA
rnacentral:rRNA from 1 species